rnacentral:tRNA from 1 species
GACCUAUUAGUUUAUAGAAACACUGAAGUUGAUACUUCAAGGAAUAAGAGAGUAUUAUAUAGGUCA